UUGUUAGAAACAAUCGCUAGAUGGUGCCAGUGCUUCAUGCAGAAUUGCAGACACGUAACAACCAAACAUGAUGCAUGUUUUGUAAAUGCUAAAUCCAAGAACUUUGAGUCAUCAUUUCACUUGAUUGACUUUCUUUCCCGAUUUUAAUAAUGGUGAGCUGCAGUUUGAACAUGUCAACUAACAGUGAUCAAUUGCAAGUACUUACCUGAGCAGCUGAGCUCUUUUCCUUUCUGUGGUUCCUUUCAAUUGAUUCAUUUGAGUUAAAUCCCUCGCUGCUGUUCCAGACCUUAUCCACUAGUGGAAUAUGCAGAGAGAUGUUGAACUUAUUCCAGGUUAACCCUUCACCAUUGUGCUACAAUAUGAAGAAGUUGAUGGUUAAAGAAGAGCUUGCUUUCAAUCAACAACAAUAAAUUGUGUAGACGUAGAUAAAUUACGAGUGCAUAUCUGGGCUCCAUUCUUUUCAUACAUUGGUUUCGGAUUAACGGAAUUAUUUCUUUCAUCAAAGGAAUGAAAUUUUAGGUGCAUGAUUGUGCGGUUAUUGGUUAUAGUUAAUAUUCUUACUUACCGCGUCAACUUCUUUUAUGACAAAAACCCUCGACAUUUUAUGUUAUUUAACAAGUCUCCCCCCUCUUUGCUUU